UACAGACAGCCCAAGAAGUUGGUAUCAAAGUUCUAUUAAGAUCUGGACCAUAUAUUUGUGGAGAGUGGGAAUAUGGUGGUUUACCAGCAUGGCUUCUAUCUAUUGAUCCAAACAUGAUAGUACGUACUAUGGAUCCAGGUUAUAUAGCAGCAGUG